CUGUCUGCCCCCUAGUGUAAGAGUCCUCGCUGCCUAAAACGCAACUUUAAAAGAAAAGAGCUCUUAAAGGGAAACGACUUUGAGCUCACGUAGGCAUAGCAGAAUGAAACUUCUGUACAUUUUAAUCUGAAUAAUUCUUCAGGGUUUAAAAUUAAUUGGCUCUGGCUUGGUUGGACCGGACUCCGAUCUCGCCACCUCUGCGUUUCCUGAGUCACUGCCGGAGAGGUGAUGAUUUUUUUUUUUUUCUUUCUGAAUUGGGUUUAUGUGCGUCCCCCUCACCCCCUCCUCUCUUUUUUCUUUCUCUGUCUCUGUCGUCUCUCUCGCUGGCUUUUUAAAAAUGAGGAACCGUUCCUUGAACGUUCUGGACAGAGCACAGAAUUGCUUAAGUCAGCCCGACACGGUUGUAAUAGACAGCAAAAAGGUAAACGUUUGCCUGAAAUCCGCACGCCAGCUCCACUACCCCGCCCGAUGAGAAGAAUAAUGGGGAAACACGGAUCUUUUAUUUUAGGAAACUGUUAUGGUAAGAUGUAUGUCAGACUUGACAAAUGGAACUAACCCUCUUCGGCUGCUUCUUGUCCUUGUCUUAAACAGGAAUUAAGUUAAACACAGUGCUGAAUGUUAAUUACAUGUUUACUGGCUAAUGAAAAUUACAAAUGGUUUUGCCACCUCAAACAAUGAUGAAAACUCUGAAGACACUGUAAUUAUAUACUUUGAGGGAAAUAACUCAGAAUAUUGAUCAUAAGAAGUGUAAAUCUUUUUUUAACUAUUCAUUAAUACCAUAAAUAUGGGCUACAGAAGUUUUUCCUAGUGGUUUGUCUCAUCAGUUAUACGAGUGGAUGGAUGGUGAGGCUUCUCUGGGGAGGUGAUGAACUCAUUCUCUUAUAGAAGGAGGCCACUUGUGUAACUGGGGGUGCCCCCCUCCCUUUCACCCCCGCCCCCUUUAACCCCAGCAGAAGGUCGAGGGAUAGUUGAACAGGGGGGCCGGGCUCAGGGCAGGUGAAGGUGAUCACAGCUCAGCCUCUUUCCUCCCCUCCCCUUGUCCUCCUCUCCCUCCUCCCUUUCCUGCCAGGUCUGAUCGAUGACUGCCUUCCCCAGCCAGGGCGCCUGUCGGAUAACCUGGCGUUUGGGUUCCUAAUGGAGGACAACUCACCGCAACCCAGCGAUGCCGCCCCGACAACCCAAGUUCCCUCCUUUAGAGGUGGCUAGGGCAGUUCAUUGCAAAAGAAGAA